rnacentral:misc_RNA from 1 species
UCUCCGUAGGUGAACCUGCGGAGGGAUCAUUACCGAGUGAGGGUCCUUGUGGCCCGACCUCCAACCCCCUGUCUUCCGACUCUGUUGCCUCGGGGGGCCGCCCGGGAGUGUCGCGUUCUGCGCGCUCGCCCGGGAGCCACGGCGCCCCGGUGGCCCAAAAAACUCUUGUUUUGUAUGGGCUAUCAGAAAUACUAUCUAAUAGUUAAAACUUUCAGCAACGGAUCUCUUGGUUCUGGCAUCGAUGAAGAACGCAGC